AAAAAAUGAUCAAUUUUUGUAUUCAAUUAUUAAUAUAGUAAGGAUUUAAUUUGAUCACGAUUUGAAGUAUUAUAGAAGUAUUACAGAUGCACAAUGCAAUUAAAUGAAAUGUUAGUUUCAUAUCACUAUUGCUCCACAGAAAGUGCCGGGAUGACUGGAUUGAGCCACAUGCGUGGGGUGGAGUGGCAUCAAGGAAACUAAAUAAUCAUGCUGGAGACUCCAGUCAAAGCCAGCGUGUGCCAUCUUAAGAGACAUCCCUUCCAACAAAAGAUGAUCAAUAGGCCUUAAUAUAUUUUUAAAAUGUUGUUCAUAACAUAUUUAGCUUCGAUGCACUAAUGCACGGCAAAGACAAAGUUUUUGAAACAGGCUCUGCUCUUUUCUCUCUGUGAUUCAGAUGUCGAAGAACUUGAACAUCUUGAUCCAAGAUGUGCUUAAUUUUAAUAUAUUGCUUGCGAAAUACCAAUACUUCAUAAGGCCGUCAAUUUCCCGUUGUCGUCGGCUCAUGCGGACGUCCUUUAUUUAUAUCAGCCACACAGUGUAUGCUCACAUUGUGAAUAUUAUCAAGGAUUCACAGCAGCGACUUGAAAUACCUGGAAAUUCUUAUUUUGUAUCGUUUUUUGCAGAAAGUAAAAGCUGAUUUUCAGCUUGUUGUAAUAGAAAUGGGCUUGGCAAAAUGUUUAUGACGUCGAGAGAAAAUCUUAUGUUAGCAAAAAUUUGUACAGAAGCACAAUGUAUUCGACUACUCGGCACGCCCUUUUAAGCCAUAACCCGUUUCGCUAUCAAGAGCCCAACAAACCUAACUAAACCUAGGGAAACUAAGCGGAAAACCUAAAGCACGUAGGAUAAUGCUAAUCGUACAUAAGAUUCAACGAAGUCUGUCAUUAGAAUUAUACAUAUACAUAUACAUAUAUAAUAAAUACCUAUGUAUGCAUUGGUUUGCGGUGGCGAACUGAGAGAAUUUAUCUAAUUGAUUUCAGAAAUCUUAUACGCAAAUUGGUCCGCUAUCAAAAUCUUGUUUAAUAAUUUCACUAGACAAAUUCAACAAUAUUUAGUAAAUAAGUAUGUACUAUGUUAUAUAUUUGAUUUUUUGUUUUUUAUUUUUUUUUAUAUGCUUGUGUCUAUGAUUGGCUUUUCGAAUAACUCCUCAUCCACUAUGCAUCUAAAUUAUAUCUAUACGAGCAAGUGGCAUUGUGCAUAAGAAAUGAGCUAAGUCAUAAUUAAUAUAAUUACUUCGGCCUUCCUACCCCAUCCUCCCCUCUCUAUCAUAUCUGCCCCUAAUUUGGCAUGACAGCAAUGAAAAUGAAUUACUUUUAAUUAGCUGAAUAGGUUAUACGUAAUAUAAAUUGCAAAAACUAAUUAAUGCCUUCCCCUCUCGUAAUAUCAAUCAACAGUAACUACCAUAUUUAACCAUUAACCUGCUAAUAGACUUUAAAUCCUAAGCCAACCCAACUAUUAUAAUAAUUAAGCAAAUACCACAAUUUGUAAACUGUGCUCGUUUUUAGAAAACAGGCAACUCAUAUACCAUUUCGCAACACAUGUACUUCGAUGUAAACGGGGAUCGUAAUCUCCAUCUCUAGCACUAACUCUACAGUUUCUGAAUGAGCGGCAAAAAUUGUUCUUAUUGCCUAACCUGACGAUCCCCCGAUCCCGGACUGCGAUCGGGCCGUCAGGCAGGGCCUAAUCUUCGACUAUAUCUAAGUUGUUUUGCAUUGUUAAUAAACUUCAGCAAAUAAUUGUAAAUGAAUACACGUUUCAUCCAUUCGUCUGUCCUUAAAUCAUUAUGUCUGCCUAGAAUCUAUAAGUACCAUAAGUGAAAAACAAUUAAAAGGAA